rnacentral:rRNA from 1 species
UUGUCGUCAGCUCGUGUCGUGAGAUGUUGGGUUAAGUCCCGCAACGAGCGCAACCCUUGAUCUUAGUUGCCAGCAUUCAGUUGGGCACUCUAAGGUGACUGCCGGUGACAAACCGGAGGAAGGUGGGGAUGACGUCAAAUCAUCAUGCCCCUUAUGACCUGGGCUACACACGUGCUACAAUGGACAGAACAAAGGGCAGCGAAACCGCGAGGUUAAGCCAAUCCCACAAAUCUGUUCUCAGUUCGGAUCGCAGUCUGCAACUCGACUGCGUGAAGCUGGAAUCGCUAGUAAUCGCGGAUCAGCAUGCCGCGGUGAAUACGUUCCCGGGCCUUGUACACACCGCCCGUCACACCACGAGAGUUUGUAACACCCGAAGUCG